rnacentral:lncRNA from 1 species
UUUUUUUCCUGUAAAAAUUUUUUCAAGGCCUGAGGAAAAUGAUGAAUUAAACUUUUCCUGACAGGAAAGACAACAUCUGAAAAUUCUGCCUGAUAGAUAGAGAGAAGCAUCCUGGCAAGAGACACGGAGCUGACAGACGAAGAGAUGCACGUCUGACAGAAUUGGGACUAUUCACCCAAAGUGAGACAAAGUGAAAUGCCAAGCACAUUGAGAAUCUCUUCCUUCUUACUGUCAACGGAUUCACCUAAUCAAAGCACUUUUAGUCACUGCAUCCAAUUUCCAUCCUCAUCCAACACAUGGUGGGGUCUUUUUCUCGUUUCUUCUGAGUUGACACACACAAAACCCAAGAGUCCCACUUUUGGCGAGGAACGUGUUGCUGUCAGCUUGCAUUUGUUACCGCACAUUGGUUCCCCGUGUCCCAGUAAUGACCCCCUGUAAAGGCCACUGGGCAAGAGAAUUGCAAGAUCGAGCGAGGCGGCGGGAAUUACAGGAAAGGAUUAACGGCAGAACAGCCUGUUGCGACAGCGAAAAACAGCCCGAGGACAGGGGCGUGCUCCCAUCUGACAGGCGGAAGUGUGCCAGGGUUUAUGUAUUAGGUCACAGCAAGAAAGCUAUUUUUGCUGUGCCCUCUGACCUUCUGUAGAAGAACAAGAAAAGAUGAUGUAGAUACUGCUGGUUUGGACUGGCUCAGAGAGAAAAGAAACAAAUAGAUGGGAGUACGUGCCAAGGGUCACUGAUGCUUCCAGAGGGCAGUGGCCUCGGCUGUCUUACUCAAGGCUGAAUUCUUAGCCCCUACAAGACUCAUGCCUGGCAUGUAACAAGUGCACAGCCAGUUUUCC